rnacentral:lncRNA from 1 species
AUGCAAACUUCAUGUGAAUGUGCUGUGUCUUCAGGGCUGUUACAGGGCCAUGGUUUGGUCCUUGUCUAUCCUUACAGGCCUACACUUUUUUGCAAGAAAGUCACAGUGCCACGUGUGCUUGCUGAUUCAAUCUGGGAGGAGGACAGAGACUGUAAGAGACCUGUCUUAAGAAAGAUGGAGGUGGCCCCCAUCUUCCUUCCACGUGCUGCUCUGCCAAGGUUUUCUCAUUCUGAUCAACAUCUCCAAGCUUGGGCUCAGUCUGCCAAUAUCUCCUGCCUCAUGAGUGAUAGCACUGCAGAGUGGAAUGGAUCACAUUCAAAAAGCUGGUCUGUACAAGCGUUUUAAGCUCUGUUCGUCCCUUUUUGGAGGACCUGUUGACUGUCAUUAUAUGCUGCACUGAAAGAACUA